rnacentral:rRNA from 1 species
AGGACGAACGCUGGCGGCGUGCUUAACACAUGCAAGUCGAGCGGAAAGGCCCUUCGGGGUACUCGAGCGGCGAACGGGUGAGUAACACGUGAGUAAUCUGCCCCUAGCUCUGGGAUAGCUCCGGGAAACCGGGAUUAAUACCGGAUACGACCACCUUAGACAUCUUUUGUGGUGGAAAGAAUUUCGGCUAGGGAUGAGCUCGCGGCCUAUCAGCUUGUUGGUGGGGUAAUGGCCUACCAAGGCGACGACGGGUAGCCGGCCUGAGAGGGCGACCGGCCACACUGGGACUGAGACACGGCCCAGACUCCUACGGGAGGCAGCAGUGGGGAAUAUUGCGCAAUGGGCGAAAGCCUGACGCAGCGACGCCGCGUGGGGGAUGAAGGCCUUCGGGUUGUAACCCCUUUCAGCAGGGACGAAGCGAAAGUGACGGUACCUGCAGAGAAGCGCCGGCUAACUACGUGCCAGCAGCCGC